rnacentral:rRNA from 1 species
UACAGAGGUCUCAAGCGUUGUUCGGAUUCAUUGGGCGUAAAGGGUGCGUAGGCGGCGCGGUAAGUCGGGUGUGAAAUCUCGGAGCUUAACUCCGAAACUGCAUUCGAUACUGCCGUGCUUGAGGACUGGAGAGGAGACUGGAAUUUACGGUGUAGCGGUGAAAUGCGUAGAUAUCGUAAGGAAGACCAGUGGCGAAGGCGGGUCUCUGGACAGUUCCUGACACUGGGGCACGAAGGCCAGGGGAGCAAACGGG